GGAGGUAUGGCUCAGUGGUUGAGUGCCUGCCUAACAAGUAUGAGGCCCUGAGUUCAAAGCCCAGUACUACAA
rnacentral:tRNA from 1 species